rnacentral:rRNA from 1 species
AAUGACCUCAAUCAGAGAC